GCUGGAAGAUGCUUUGGGCGAUGAUCGUCUCAAAGUCUGCUGCACGUAUCCAGUCACUGCGCUUCUUUCUGACAUAUUGAUAGGUUUAUCCUUGUCUUAUGCCACACAUGCUCUAGUUAAAAAUAGAAGAAGAGAGAUGCAUAAUACAAACAUAAAUGUAGCUUUCACUAACCACUGCAUCUACAUGGGCUUCCAUAUCCAUAGUCAUGGAUCACUCUGGUAUAUCUGCUGGUAUCAUUUAGUAUGAUGUAUUUUCUGUGUUGUAGGAGAGUUUGUGAGGCUAGCUGACCUGCCCUGCCUGGUAGACCUGGUGUUUGUGGGAAAUCCUCUGGAAGACAAGCACUCAUCUGAAGGGACCUGGAUGGAUGAAGCCUCCAAAAGACUUCCCAAUCUGAAGAAACUAGAUGGGACCCCAGUCAUCAAACCGGAAGUGGACGAAGGAGAUGGAGAAAGCUGAGAAGCGUAACCAUCUGCAAAACUAGAAUCACCUUUCCAAAGAGUCUUCCCUUUUUAAAGUUUUGUAUGGUUUGUCAUGGUGCUUUCCUUUAUACAAAAUUACUUUUACAACAGCACACCAAUAAAAGCACACACGUACAUUUUAAAACUAUAAAACAAUUAUUAAAUGGUUAAUACCUGCUGGGCUUGCUACCAUAAAAAAGCUUUUAAUGAGACCUUAUUAAAAGAUUCAAAAGUGUUGUUGUCAUAUGCACAAUAGCUACAGCGCAGUUGUUGGCAAUACAAACCGUAAGUCCUUCUGAAGGCUCCUCCAGCAAUGCAACAUUCAAUAUACUUUAGAAAUAAGAAUAAAAAGACAUGAAAUAGUGCAAGUGACUAAUACAAAUGCAGAAUUGGAGAGAGGCUUAAUACACAGAAGCCUUCCACCGCACCAUUUUAAACUGAAAAUUGAAACAGAAGUAAUGUGGCCAAAAAAACUUUUUAAACUUACAAUGUUUGUUUUUUUAUUGUCCUUGAUUUUGUAUGCAUCUCUAUGUACCUCUAGCAAGAACUAAAGCACAAUGUAGCACACACACACACACACACACACACACACACACACACACACACACACACACACACACACACACACAUUUACGUCAAAUUGGACAUUUCAUACUGUUUUUGCUAUCAGAAUUCUCGAAUACGCUGAAAUUAGGUUCUAUUACCAAACUAACUUCUCAGACGGUUAUUAGCAGUAGCAUUGCAUUAGGAGGUUAAGUUUUUAUUUACUAUUCUCAUGGGAUUUGAAGGGACCAUACUGUAUACAUCUACACCUCCCUAGCUUUUCAGAGUGAAACCUCGGAUGACCUAAACACAUCCAUAGAUCAGUUUGGCCCUGUGUUUGAGGUCAUGUAUUGUCUGUCAAGAGUUUUUGAAACUACUCUAUUUUCAGGCUUAUUUUGGAUCAAUACAUUCUACAUUGUUCCUGUUCAUUGUGAUACCAAGGUUAAUGCAUGUAGCAUGUCUUCAUUAUUUACAUUACACAUUAUCUGUGUACAAUUAUUUUCAUGUUUUUAAUUAUUCAGUUAGGUUUGUACAUACAAUUGUAAGAUGUUUUUUUAUGAUUUUGAUUUUUGAAAUAAAUACUGUUGAAGUAAA